rnacentral:rRNA from 1 species
CAGCAGCCGCGGUAAUACGGAGGGGGCUAGCGUUGUUCGGAAUUACUGGGCGUAAAGCGCACGUAGGCGGCUUGGUAAGUUAGAGGUGAAAGCCCGGAGCUCAACUCCGGAAUUGCCUUUAAGACUGCCGAGCUAGUAGGUGAGAGAGGUAAGUGGAAUUCCGAGUGUAGAGGUGAAAUUCGUAGAUAUUCGGAAGAACACCAGUGGCGAAGGCGGCUUACUGGCUCAUUCUAGACGCUGAGGUGCGAAAGCGUGGGGAGCAAACAGGAUUAGAUACCCGAGUAGUCCCUGUCUCUUAUAC